AGCUUUGCACAGUGGCAGUAUUGUAGCCAAUGAGGUUUAUCCAAGGCGUGAUUAUUGCUAAUUGAAAACUUUUCCCAAUACUCCACCAUGAUGACUGGAAAUAUAGUUGGCACUGGCAAUUUUUGGCAGUCUCUAUGGGGA
rnacentral:snRNA from 1 species